rnacentral:ribozyme from 1 species
UUGACCCGCAAGGCCGACGGUACCCGCCGCCGCUGGUGCAAGCCCAGCCGCCCCCACACGGGGCGGGCGCUCAUGGGUAACAA